UGCCAGCCGCCGCGGUAAUACGGAGGGUGCAAGCGUUAAUCGGAAUUACUGGGCGUAAAGCGCUCGUAGGCGGUUUGUUAAGUCGGAUGUGAAAGCCCCGGGCUCAACCUGGGAACUGCAUUCGAUACUGGCAGACUAGAGUAUAGUAGAGGCAAGUGGAAUUCCGGGUGUAGCGGUGAAAUGCGUAGAUAUCCGGAGGAACAUCAGUGGCGAAGGCGACUUGCUGGACUAAUACUGACGCUAAGGAGCGAAAGCGUGGGGAGCAAACGGGAUUAGAUA
rnacentral:rRNA from 1 species